rnacentral:rRNA from 1 species
CCAAUAGCGUAUAUUAAAGUUGUUGCAGUUAAAAAGCUCGUAGUUGAAUUUCGGGAUCAAUAUGUCGGUCGUGCUCUUUGGUACGUACUGGCGUCAUUGGUUUCUCCUUUCUGACGAACCAUGAUGUCAUUAAUUUGGUGUUAUGGGAAGUUAGGACUGUUACUUUGAAAAAAUUAGAGUGUUUAAAGCAGGCAUUAGCUUGAAUACAUUAGCAUGGAAUAAUGAAAUAGGACGUUCGAUCCUAUUUUGUUGGUUUCUAGGAUCAACGUAAUGAUUAAUAGGGAUAGUUGGGGGCAUUAGUAUUCAAUUGUCAGAGGUGAAAUUCUUGGAUUUAUUGAAGACUAACUACUGCGAAAGCAUUUGCCAAGGAUGUUUUCAUUAAUCAAGAACGAAAGUUAGGGGAUCGAAGACGAUCAGAUACCGUCGUAGUCUUAACCAUAAACUAUGCCGACUAGGGAUCGGAUGAUGUUAAUUUUUUAAUGACUCAUUCGGCGCCUUACG